rnacentral:rRNA from 1 species
CCUACGGGAGGCAGCAGUAGGGAAUCUUCCACAAUGGACGAAAGUCUGAUGGAGCAACGCCGCGUGAGUGAAGAAGGGUUUCGGCUCGUAAAGCUCUGUUGGUAGUGAAGAAAGAUAGAGGGAGUAACUGGCCUUUAUUUGACGGUAAUUACUUAGAAAGUCACGGCUAACUACGUGCCAGCAGCCGCGGUAAUACGUCGGUGGCAAGCGUUGUCCGGACUUAUUUGGCGUAAAACGAGUGCAGGCGGUUUCAAAAAAC